UCCGUAGGGGGCAAGCGUUGUCCGGAUUUAUUGGGCGUAAAGAGCGUGUAGGCGGCCAAGUAAGUCUGCUGUGAAAACUCGAGGCUUAACCUCGAGCUGUCGGCGGAAACUAUUUGGCUAGAGUCCGGAAGAGGAGAAUGGAAUUCCCGGUGUAGCGGUGAAAUGCGCAGAUAUCGGGAAGAACACCCGUGGCGAAGGCGGCUCUCUGGGACGGUACUGACGCUGAGACGCGAAAGCGUGGGGAGCGAACAGG
rnacentral:rRNA from 1 species